UAUAGCUCAGUGGUAGAGUGCAUGCUUAGCAUGCAUGAGGUCCUGGGUUCAAUCCCUAAUCCCCAGUA
rnacentral:tRNA from 1 species